rnacentral:tRNA from 1 species
GAAAUAAAUAAAUUAAGCUUCUAACUUAAUAUUUAGCAAAUUAAUUGUUAUUAUUUCU